AUUGAACGCUGGCGGCAUGCUUUACACAUGCAAGUCGAACGGUAACAGGCCGCAAGGUGCUGACGAGUGGCGAACGGGUGCGUAAUGCAUCGGAACGUGCCCAGUCGUGGGGGGUAACUACUCGCAAGAGUAGCUAAUACCGCAUACGAUCUAUGGAUGAAAGCGGGGGACCGUAAGGCCUCGCGCGAUUGGAGCGGCCGAUGUCAGAUUAGGUAGUUGGUGGGGUAAAGGCUCACCAAGCCAACGAUCUGUAGCUGGUCUGAGAGGACGACCAGCCACACUGGAACUGAGACACGGCCCAGACUCCUACGGGAGGCAGCAGUGGGGAAUUUUGGACAAUGGGCGCAAGCCUGAUCCAGCAAUGCCGCGUGCAGGAAGAAGGCCUUCGGGUUGUAAACUGCUUUUGUACGGAACGAAACGGCCCUGGUUAAUACCCGGGGCUAAUGACGGUACCGUAAGAAUAAGCACCGGCUAACUACGUG
rnacentral:rRNA from 1 species